rnacentral:tRNA from 1 species
UCCUUGGCGGUCCACUGGUCAGGACUCUGCACUUUCACUGCAGGAGUUGUGGGUUCGAUUCCUGGUCAGGGAA